rnacentral:lncRNA from 1 species
CUCACAUAAGAAAACUCCGAAAGCGUAGAAAUUUUGGUUUUUAUUUUCUUUAAAUUUAUAACAAAUAAUACGGCUGUUUAUCACAACGGAAAUUGACUUAUUAAAAGGGGCAAAAGUCUGAAACAAUUUGAUUUUUGGAUAAAAGAAGGCCUUUCUGUUCGGGAGGAGCAACUCGACUUUUCCCCGAAUUGUGAAUCGCCUUUUGACACAUGCUGCAUAUGCACUCACUUGUUCACGGAUAUCAUCAUUGUAGUGAAAGUCGAAACGAAGCAAAACGAAACUGAGCUGUUGACAUUGUCCACCAUUGUCGUCAGACCGGACAGGGAAACACUCACAUAUCUCUCUCCAGCUCUGCUUAUUUUUCUGCUUGGCUUUUUCUUUUACUGGGGCUCUGCCUCAGUUCCUCCCACCAAUUUCCCACCCCUCAUUUCGUUGGUUGAGCAAACAGCACGGCGACUCAGACAGCCCCUGGCCGACACAUAUUUCUCGUGGACCAACUCGAAGAAAUCCUGCUGAAAGUAGCCAAGCUCUUGGUAGUUUGAGUCCUUCUGACCGCGUCGUAUUUGCUUAUACCUCAGCCUGAACUCUCGCCACACCAACUGCAACUGCAGCCACUUUUUGGUAAUAAAGUCCAACGUUUUACGCUGGAACGGUGCCUUCUUGUAGUUGGAAAUGGCAUGGAAAAUGAAAUUUGCAUUGAUUUGUUGGUCCAGCGCCAAUUGAUCCAAGGCCACCAGCGACCCACUACCAUCCCACCAACCCGUGCAGGAUUACUGGCCCCACCCAGUUUCAAUGCCACAAUGUUGGGCAUAAUUUCUGCCUGUUUUUUACUGUCACUUGUUUUAAUUUAUUUUCAUUCUUUCAGAAAGUUUUAAGUUUAUAUGUUUUGUCCGCCCACGCACUUCCACUGGGAAGCUUCCAACGGUAAAUGCCGCUGAACCGCUGAUUCUGCAGCACUUUUUCCCAACUAGUGGUUUUUUACCUAUUUUCAGAGAUUGAUAAAUACCUGGGCUCAAAAAUACUUGGCGAAUGCGUGUAUUUAUUUAUAGGUAACUUUCUGCCCAGCGAUUGUUGCAAUUGCCUUUCAUCUGGUAAGCCCCAGCUGACGGACGAUUCACGUGAGUGGCGUUGACUUUUUUAAGUCAUUAAGUCUUAUUUCAGGUGUUCGUAAACAACUCUUUUUUGAGUUCAAUUGGGAAAAAUUAGGUGUAUUCUUUUAGCAGUAGUUUUUAAAAUUAC